rnacentral:rRNA from 1 species
AACGCGAAGAACCUUACCAGGCCUUGACAUCCUGCGAACUUUCUAGAGAUAGAUUGGUGCCUUCGGGAACGCAGUGACAGGUGCUGCAUGGCUGUCGUCAGCUCGUGUCGUGAGAUGUUCGGUUAAGUCCGGCAACGAGCGCAACCCACAUCCUUAGUUGCCAUCAUUCAGUUGGGCACUCUAGGGAAACUGCCCGUGAUAAGCGGGAGGAAGGUGUGGAUGACGUCAAGUCCUCAUGACCCUUACGGGUUGGGCUACACACGUGCUACAAUGGUAGUGACAAUGGGUUAAUCCCAAAAAGCUAUCUCAGUUCGGAUUGGGGUCUGCAACUCGACCCCAUGAAGUCGGAAUCGCUAGUAAUCGCGUAACAGCAUGACGCGGUGAAUACGUUCCCGGGGUCUGUACACACCG